GUGUAAGUAUAAAUUACUUUGUAUUAUGAAAUUGCAAAUGACUCAUCAAAUUAGUAAUAGAUGGUACCUUACUACUUAGAUAACUAUAGUAAUUCUAGAGCUAAUACAUGUAAAGAGUCCUGACCUCUAGAAGGGAUACACUUACUAGAUUCAAGGUUAAUCUGGGCUCAUUUGUAUUCUUGGUGAUUCAUGGUAAAUUGUUGAAUUGCAUGGCUUUUAUAUUGAUGAUGCUUCAAUCAAAUUUUUGCCUUAUCAACUUUCAAUGGUAUAGGGGGUUGGGGGGCUGGGCACCAGAUGACCCACUCCUCGAUAUAGAG
rnacentral:ncRNA from 1 species